GAUGAACGCUGGCGGCGUGCCUAAUACAUGCAAGUCGAGCGAACGGACGAGAAGCUUGCUUCUCUGAUGUUAGCGGCGGACGGGUGAGUAACACGUGGAUAACCUACCUAUAAGACUGGGAUAACUUCGGGAAACCGGAGCUAAUACCGGAUAAUAUUUUGAACCGCAUGAUUCAAAAGUGAAAGACGGUCUUGCUGUCACUUAUAGAUGGAUCCGCGCUGCAUUAGCUAGUUGGUAAGGUAACGGCUUACCAAGGCAACGAUGCAUAGCCGACCUGAGAGGGUGAUCGGCCACACUGGAACUGAGACACGGUCCAGACUCCUACGGGAGGCAGCAGUAGGGAAUCUUCCGCAAUGGGCGAAAGCCUGACGGAGCAACGCCGCGUGAGUGAUGAAGGUCUUCGGAUCGUAAAACUCUGUUAUUGGGGAAGAACAUAUGUGUAAGUAACUGUGCACAUCUUGACGGUACCUAAUCAGAAAGCCACGGCUAACUACGUG
rnacentral:rRNA from 1 species